GAAGUGGAGUUUUUCAUUAACCAACUCAAAACAACAAGAUGCAACACACCCCUGACGGCCACAACUCCCAAUGCUGAUAACAUAGCCCAGCAAUUGGAUUGCAUAAAAAUCGUAAAUGAUGGGUUUCCUUUAUUGGGGGAUUGUGAGAUAACAUUGGACCGUUAUAGCUCAAAAACAUGUUUAAAUAGCCAACAAGGCAACGCACAAGGAUCAAUUUGAAUGAAAGCGCGCCAAAGAGGAUCCCAGAAAGAAAUAAAAUUCCACAGCAUGGCGAUCGAGUGUCUCGUCCUCGGCGCUGGGCAACAAGUCGGGAAGAGCUGCGUGGUAGUAUCGAUGAAUGGUAAGCGGAUAAUGUUCGAUUGCGGGAUGGACAUGGCAUAUCACGACCACCGCCGCCACCCUGAUUUCUCCCGCAUCUCCGAGUACGGCGACUUCGACAAAGCCCUCACUUGCAUCGUCAUCACCCACUUCCAUUUGGACCACAUCGGUGCUCUUCCUUACUUCACUGAAGUCUGCGGAUACCGUGGACCCAUAUACAUGACGUAUCCAACCAAGGCAUUGGCUCCUUCAAUGUUGGAGGAUUAUCGAAAAGUGAUGGUUGAACGAAGAGGGGAAGAGGAACAAUUUACCUCAGAGCAUAUUGUGGAAUGCAUGAAGAAAGUUAUAGCUGUGGAUGUAAAGCAGACGGUACAAGUUGAUAAAGAUCUUAUGAUUCGUGCCUAUUAUGCAGGACACGUUCUUGGAGCAGCAAUGUUUUACACAAAGGUAGGAGAUUCUGCUAUAGUCUACACGGGAGACUAUAAUAUGACACCGGAUAGACAUCUGGGAGCAGCUCAAAUUGAUCGACUACAACUGGACCUUCUAAUCACAGAGUCCACAUAUGCAACGACUAUACGUGACUCGAAAUAUGGUCGGGAGGCGGAAUUUCUUAAAGCUGUUCAUAAAUGUGUUCUGGGAGGAGGAAAGGUGCUCAUUCCUACAUUUGCUCUUGGAAGAGCUCAGGAGCUCUGCAUCUUGUUGGAGGAUUACUGGGAGCGAAUGAAUUUAAAGAUUCCCAUUUACUUUUCAUCAGGUCUGACCAUGCAAGCCAAUAUGUAUUACAAAAUGCUUAUCAGUUGGACCAGCCAGAAGGUUAAAGAGACAUAUUCCACACGUAAUGCAUUUGAUUUUAAACAUGUUCUCAAUUUUGACCGUUCUAUGAUAUCUGCUCCUGGACCUUGUGUUCUUUUUGCUACACCUGGCUGGAUUAGUGGCGGUUUUUCGCUUGAGGUUUUCAAGCAGUGGGCUCCAUCUGAAAUGAAUCUUAUCACCUUGCCUGGGUACUGCGCGGCUGGAACCAUAGGACAUAAAUUGAUGUCAGGUAAACCCAGCAAAAUUGAUCUGGACAAAGAUACUCAACUCGAUGUGCGAUGCCAGAUUCAUCAAUUGUCUUUCAGUCCUCAUACAGAUGCCAAAGGGAUUAUGGAUCUUGUCAAGUUUCUCUCCCCCAAACAUGUGAUCCUAGUACAUGGUGAGAAACCUAAGAUGGCUACUCUUAAAGGACGAAUAUAUUCGGAAUUGGGAAUUCGAUGUGAUGACCCUGCAAACAACGAGACAGUUUGCAUUCCUUCAACUCAUCAUGUGGAAGUAGGAGCCUCAAACACUUUUAUUCGAAGUAGCUUGAAUCCAAACUUCAAUUUUUCUAAAAUGAGUUCAGAAGAUGAAUCCGAUUCGCGUUUAAAAGAUGGAAAGUUCAUGCCAUGGCUGCAAGUAAAAGAUGAAAGGGCAGCUGAAGGGAUAUUGGUUGAGGAAAAGGGUAAAAGAGCAAAGAUCGUUCACCUAGAUGAGUUUCUUCUUAUGUUGGGAGAAAAGAAGCAUGAUAUUCGGUUUGCUUACUGUUUCCCCAUAAAUACUGACAAUUUAGAAGACACCAAGAGCACAGAUGUAUCUUCAUCAAGUAAUGCACUUUCCGUGUCUGGCAGAAGCUCUUGGCUUCCCAUGUUGUACAUUAAACUUUCAGAUGAACUUUCUGGAGGUAACAUCCAAUAUUUCGGGGAACAAAUUCAAGUAGAGUCAUUUAGUGUAUCACUCUGUCUGAAGGACAGGUGCCCUUACAGAAUAGUUGACAGUCCUCCAAAUAAAUGUGAAGCGGUGUUUUUUUGCUGCGCUUGGUCGAUAGCAGAUGAGAAACUUGCUUGGAAAAUCAUCUCGAUAUUAGAAAAUCGCAACUAUGGAACUCUUUGAGUGUAUGGUAUCAAUUAAUUUAUGAGCUAUGAGCCGAGAGGAAUCGCCUGCUAAAAUGGGUUGCAAGAGGAGCUGGAGUCAUGAAGAAGUGUUCGAAGUCCGGAAGAAGAGUUAGUUAAGUUGGUUAUUCUUCUGGUGCAGCGCAGUCGUUUUGAAGAGAAGAGAAGGUGUGUAGUUGUGUGUAGCCGACGGUAUCGUUUAGAAUAAGUUGAGCGAUGUCAUUUUAAUAUUGUAUGCUGUAAUGUCUCUUAAGUGUAAUGCUAAUACGCUGACAUUUUGUGUCUUUUACAUUCUGAACACUUGAAUACGAUGUCGUUAAUGGGAAGUAUAUAUAGUUGGAGAAAAGGAGGAAAGAUCAUCUUCGAAGUUCAAUCAAUUUCUUCUUCUAUC